UACGUAGGGUGCAAGCGUUGUCCGGAAUUAUUGGGCGUAAAGAGCUUGUAGGCGGUUUGUCGCGUCUGCUGUGAAAUUUCGGGGCUCAACCCCGAACUUGCAGUGGGUACGGGCAGACUAGAGUGUGGUAGGGGAGACUGGAAUUCCUGGUGUAGCGGUGAAAUGCGCAGAUAUCGGGAGGAAUACCGAUGGCGAAGGCAGGUCUCUGGGCUAUAACUGACGCUCAUGCACGAAAGCGUGGGGAGCAAACAGG
rnacentral:rRNA from 1 species